GAGAAGUUUCUGGGGUUUGGUCGGAAUUCCGAGCCAAACCUCGUGGUGGUCUUGGAUUUUGCACAACACCAACAAAAAGGUGGUUUAGUUCGGACAGCCUCUUAAGUCGCUGGAAAAUUGCACGGCGACGAGGUCUUUCUUCCCGGAAUUAGCUGGAAUGACGCACAGCUAUAAUAUUCUCACCAAAGCUCUGAUACCAUGUGAGAAAGNNNNNN
rnacentral:lncRNA from 1 species